rnacentral:rRNA from 1 species
ACGCUAGCUACAGGCUUAACACAUGCAAGUCGAGGGGAAACGGCAUUGAGUGCUUGCACUCUUUGGACGUCGACCGGCGCACGGGUGAGUAACGCGUAUCCGACCUUCCCAUUACUGUGGGAUAACCUGCCGAAAGGCAGACUAAUACCGCAUAGUCUUCGAUGACGGCAUCAGAUUUGAAGUAAAGAUUUAUCGGUAAUGGAUGGGGAUGCGUCUGAUUAGCUUGUUGGCGGGGUAACGGCCCACCAAGGCAACGAUCAGUAGGGGUUCUGAGAGGAAGGUCCCCCACAUUGGAACUGAGACACGGUCCAAACUCCUACGGGAGGCAGCAGUGAGGAAUAUUGGUCAAUGGACGGAAGUCUGAACCAGCCAAGUAGCGUGCAGGAUGACGGCCCUAUGGGUUGUAAACUGCUUUUGUAUGGGGAUAAAGUUAGGGACGUGUCCCUAUUUGCAGGUACCAUACGAAUAAGGACCGGCUAAUUCCGUGCCAGCAGCCGCGGUAAUACGGAAGGUCCAGGCGUUAUCCGGAUUUAUUGGGUUUAAAGGGAGCGUAGGCUGGAGAUUAAGUGUGUUGUGAAAUGUAGACGCUCAACGUCUGAAUUGCAGCGCAUACUGGUUUCCUUGAGUACGCACAACGUUGGCGGAAUUCGUCGUGUAGCGGUGAAAUGCUUAGAUAUGACGAAGAACUCCGAUUGCGAAGGCAGCUGACGGGAGCGCAACUGACGCUUAAGCUCGAAGGUGCGGGUAUCAAACAGGAUUAGAUACCCUGGUAGUCCGCACAGUAAACGAUGGAUGCCCGCUGUUGGUACCUGGUAUCAGCGGCUAAGCGAAAGCAUUAAGCAUCCCACCUGGGGAGUACGCCGGCAACGGUGAAACUCAAAGGAAUUGACGGGGGCCCGCACAAGCGGAGGAACAUGU